rnacentral:lncRNA from 1 species
GUCCACCUAGUGAAAUCUCUACAAAGACUUAUAUUUAGGAACGGAGGGAGUACAUUGAGAUACUGAACCACUUCAUCCUCAAUGCUCGUGCCCGAUCCCAACCUGCUGUCCCCAAAGACCGCAUAUACAUUGCAGUGCCCCUGCCCGUGCGCCACUGCCGUAACCUGCACCCUGCAAAAAAAAUGCAAGUUCAGAUUCAAAUAAACAAGAAGUUAAAAAGGUAUUGCCUUCACUCAUGUUGUUUUGCCAACGAUCUUUAGUUUGUUCAGUAGCUCGUAAACAAUUGCCAAAAGCUCGUAACUUCAGAAUCAUAAGUUGAUAGUUUGCCAACAGGGACAACCAUGCUGAUGGUGAUUGAAUAACGAUUCUGAAUUAUUGUUAUUGAGACUGAAGGCCACGUUUUAUGCAUGAUGUGGCAGGAUUCCAGGGAUUGUUUUGAGGCGGUCGAUGGCUUUUGAGAGAUGUGUUCAUACUUAUAAGUUUGAAGGUGUUCAAAGCUCAUUUAUACAAGGAGGAACGGAAAUUUGGUUGCACAUCUGUUUGCGAAAAAGAGCACUAAAACUAGAUGUACUUUCUAUUUCUUUAUUUGUAACCCCCUACCUACCUGAUAGAGACUAUUCAAUUAGAGUUAGUUUUGCCUCAAUAAUGCAGUGGCAAGACAUUAGUUUUUAAAAGAAAGACUAGGUGCAUCUACUUUGUUGGUGGUAAUUCCAUCAUUUUUGUUUUUCAAAACAAACACAAAAAUGAUGCUCAUAGUUAACAAAAAUACCUCUGUCUAGACGUUUAACGUUCUUAUUCAACGUGUUGGUAGUUUGUAUAAAAAGGCGAAAAAUGAUGUUAAAAAACAAACCAAUGAGCGUUUACCCAAAAAAGAGUCUGCCUAAAACAUAAACUAUAAAAAUUUCACAUAACCAAAAAAAACAUAUUCGUAAGUUAAAAAAAUAGACCAUAGAAGUUCAAAAUUAAAAGCAAAAGAGCGAGCAUUUCUUGAAGACAAAAAAAUGUGGAUGUGAAGUUCAUAUUCUCUACCGCGGAUAGUUCAAAAAUAUUCGCUUACGGCAAAACACACACAUUGGGUAUCCAAAAAUAAAGAGGCGAACACACAAAAAAACAUGAAGUUCAAAUUUUAAAAAUAGAGAAGUCCGGAGUUUAUUAAAGAAAUAAAAAC